rnacentral:rRNA from 1 species
GAUGAACGCUGGCGGCGUGCCUAACACAUGCAAGUCGAACGGAGAUUACGGACGGAAGUUUUCGGAUGGAAGACUGUAAUUCUUAGUGGCGGACGGGUGAGUAACGCGUGGGCAACCUGCGCUAUACAGGGGGAUAGCAGCUGGAAACGGCUGGUAAGACCGCAUAAGUCGGCGAGACCGCAUGGUUUUGCCGGGAAAUGAGCAAUCAGGUAUAGGAUGGGCCCGCGUCCGAUUAGCCAGUUGGCAGGGUAAAAGCCUACCAAAGCAACGAUCGGUAGCCGGACUGAGAGGUCGGACGGCCACACUGGGACUGAGACACGGCCCAAACUCCUACGGGAGGCAGCAGUGGGGGAUAUUGCACAAUGGAGGAAACUCUGAUGCAGCGACGCCGCGUGAGUGAAGAAGUAUUUCGGUAUGUAAAGCUCUAUCAGCAGGGAAGAUGAUGACGGUACCUGAAGAAGAAGCCCCGGCUAACUACGUG